GACGCAUAUUUCAAGCACCUCUCAUCUGUGCCUGUCAAUCAAGGAGCAGAGGAGCAUGGUGCCCGGUGUGUAUAACACCGUCUGUGGUGCCUGCAGAACAGAAAUCACCAUCAACACAACCACAUUAACCUUCAUGAGACACAACUGAAAGGUCAGAUCAGCUUCAUUUUGGAUCCAGCUUUAAAUUUAAACUUCAAACCUACAGGACUUCAGGGAGCCAGAGCUGGAACAUCUGAAAACAUCACAAUGUCUUAUGACCGGAUUCUGUCCAUUGAAAAUUUGAGUGAUGUUCCAAAUCCAUGGAAAGGAUUCACUAUGAACCGCUGCAUAGUGCUGGCUCUGGUCGUACUAUUCGUGAGCUCGGGGGUCAGUGAGCUGCAUGAAGCAGUGGAUUCAUUUGUUGAGGAGACAGGUAUAAGGUCUUUCAUUGGAAGUGUCCAGGAUGGUUCAAUAUAUCAGAUUUCCUUAUGGGACAACUUCAUGUGGUGGUGGGGAUCUGAAGAAGUUGGAGCAAUAAGAAGAAGAAAAAAGCCGAUUGGCAACAAAGUGAUCCUGAAACCCAAACCUAAAGUAUGAUUUGUAUACAGAAGAAAUAGAUGUCAUCAGCUGUCACAGGUUUCUGAAUAAAGAACACAAACAGUC